AUUGAACGCUGGCGGCAGGCCUAACACAUGCAAGUCGAAUGGUAACAGGAAACAGCUUGCUGUUUCGCUGACGAGUGGCGGACGGGUGAGUAAUGUCUGGGAAACUGCCUGAUGGAGGGGGAUAACUACUGGAAACGGUAGCUAAUACCGCAUAACGUCGCAAGACCAAAGAGGGGGACCUUCGGGCCUCUUGCCAUCAGAUGUGCCCAGAUGGGAUUAGCUAGUAGGUGGGGUAACGGCUCACCUAGGCGACGAUCCCUAGCUGGUCUGAGAGGAUGACCAGCCACACUGGAACUGAGACACGGUCCAGACUCCUACGGGAGGCAGCAGUGGGGAAUAUUGCACAAUGGGCGCAAGCCUGAUGCAGCCAUGCCGCGUGUAUGAAGAAGGCCUUCGGGUUGUAAAGUACUUUCAGCGGGGAGGAAGGGAGUAAAGUUAAUGCCUUUGCUCAUUGACGUUACCCGCAGAAGAAGCACCGGCUAACUCCGUG
rnacentral:rRNA from 1 species